rnacentral:lncRNA from 1 species
AAUAUAGAAAAUAAUAAUAUAAAAAUAAAAUAUAAUAUCCAAUUUUAAAUAAUACAAAACAAUACAAAACAAAACUUUAUAUACACCAUUUGUAUAUGUUGUAUACAUAUGCUUUUUCUCAAUUGAUAUAAAUUUUGUUUGUUUUUUUUUUGGUUUCGUUUUUGUUUUUUCAUAAUGAAUAACAAGAACUAUUCCCAAAUGUCACCAUUUCCUUCUGUUAAGGAUAUAUGUAAUUUAUCUGAAAAAAAAGAAACAUAUAUAUAUAUAUGUACAUAUGUUUACAUAUAUAUUUACAUAUAUAUUUACAUAUAUAUAUAUAUAUAUAUAUAUACAUACACACUAUACACUUCCCUUAUAAAUAUUUGUUUCGCUAUAUUUUUUUUUUUUUUUUGUUUUUUAUACCAUUUCAGACAGUAAUACAAAAACCAAAUUUUAUCUAAUUAAAAGCUCAUCAGAUAAAAACAUAUCAAUCUCUUUAAAUUAUAAUAUAUGGGCCACAACACCAAAAAAUGAAAAUAAAUUUGUCACUGCUUUUAUGGUAUAGUUAUGCCUAAAAAUUAAAAAAAUAAAAAAGAAUGAAUGAAAAUGUGCUUUUGAUGCUAUAACUAUUUUUAGUUUUGCAGCUUAAUUAACAAAUAAUACAUAAGGAACAAGCUUAUUUUGAAAUAUAAAUAUUUUUCUAUACACAGUUACAUUUAUAUAAUUUUACAUAUUUGUGCACAAUUAUACAUAUGUAUAAAAAUAUAUACUACUAUUAUUAUAAUUACAAAAUAAAUACCUAUUUAACUUUUAUAAUUUUAGGAAAAUGAUUUUGUCGUCUUAAUAUUUUCUGUUAAUGGCAGUUCAAAAUUUUGUGGUUAUGCCAUUAUGCAAUCAAAACCGGGAGAGUCAAAAAAUAAUAAUGUUUAUUUUUAUUAUGAAGAUAAAAUAUUUCGUGGCAGAAAUUUUGAUAUCCAAUGGAUUAGAGUGGUCGACGUAUAUUUUCAAGAGAUUGUACACAUAAAAAAUAGUUUGAACGAAAACAAACCUAUUAAAGUUGGUCGAGAUGGACAGGAAAUUGAACAAAUGGCUGGAAUUAAAUUAUGUGAUUUGUUUGAAGCAAAGUUUGAGAAAGCCAACAGCAACAUAACAACUGUGCCUCCUCCAAUGCAAAAUGUAAAUACCUUAAAUUACGUAAAUCAAAGCAACCCUCAAGAUUUACCGUAUAUGCAUGAUCAAAAAAAUGCAGUAAAAUUAUAUCCUUUAAAUAGCGACUUAAAUAUGAAUUACAAUACUUUUUGUAAUUUAUAUGAAGAGUCACCAUAUAAUUUAUAUAAUAUAUAUAAUCCAGCCAUACAUAUAUUUCCUAUUGAUCUUUCUAACAUGAAUUAUGAUCAAUACAUUGGAUUAUAUGAAACAUCCCAAUCAGUUUGGAAAGAGAAAAUGUCUCAAUUUAAAUCUAAUUAUAAUUACAUAAAGCAGUAAAAAUAAAAAAAAAAAAAUAAUAUUUUUUUUUUUUUUU